rnacentral:rRNA from 1 species
UUCCGGUUUGAACUCAGAUCAUGUGCGGGAUAGAGGUCGAACAGACCUUGUGAAAAUAGCUUCUGCACUAUUUGUAGCCGCAAUUCAACAUCGAGGUCGCAAACAAUUAUUUUAAUAAGGGCUUAAAUAAUUAUAACGCUGUUAUCCCUAGAGUACCUUAUUCGUCUAAUUUAAUAAAGAUCAUUGUUAAUAUAAAUAGUCCUAUUUAAAUUUA